AGAGAUUGAUACACAUAUUUACCUACAUGAAUAGCACAAAGGUACAUAAAAUAAAUAAUAGAGUAAUAACAAUAGUGAAAAUAAGAAAUAAUAAGAAAUGAAAUAAAGGUGAAGACAACUUAGAGAUUAAAAAGAAGAAGAAAAGGUUGAAAAAUAUGAGUUUAGAUAAGCAGAAAAAAGAAAAAAUUUGACAAGUGUGAAAAUGAUGAACACAAAACAUUAACCAGUCGUAACUUUGAGACCAUAAUCACACACACACACACACACACACACGCACACACACACACUGGCCGCCCCACACCCCCACCGCGCUAAUAAAUAUUAAGACUGUAAAAAUAAAAAUACUGUAUGCGUAUGAAAUGUAAAAAAUGCUUACUUAUAAAUAACUUACAUAGUCACACGUUUACCAUCGGCUUGACGGACUCGGGUUCAGCGGACACAGAACACGGAUGACGGAUGAAUCUCACGGGACGAAAGAAACACAUACGAGCGUCCUUACGAAACAUACCGGCGAAUUUUCACAACACAAGACAGGUCAAGAACUGGCAUAUCUGGCAUUCAUAAACACAGGUAGCGACGAAAAGGUGGUCUCAUUAGCUGUGUUGCGAGUCUACAUACGAGCGAUUAUGAUAUUGCAGCAUAGGACAGGUGAAGGACAGGUAUAUCUGGCAUUCAUAAACACAGGUAUGGAUGAAAAUGUGAUCUCGUUAGCUGCAUUGUGAGUCUAUGUACGCACGAUUACGAUAUUGCAACACAGACAGGUGAAGGACAGGUGUAUCUGGUAUUCAGGAACACAGGUAAUUCAUAAACACAGGUAUGGAUGAAAAUGUGAUCUCGUUAGCUGCAUUGCGAGUCUACGUACAAGCGAUUACGAUAUUGCAACACAGACAGGUGAAGGACAGGUAUGUCUGGCAUUCAGGAACACAAGUAACUCGUAAACAUAGGUAGGGGCGAAAAGGGGGUCUCGUUAGUUGCAUUGCGAGUCUACGUACGCACGAUUACGAUAUUGCAACACAGCACAGGUAAAGGAAAGGUAUAUCUGGCAUUUGUAACAUAGCUAUGGGUAAAAAGGUGGUCUCGUUAGCUGUGUUAUGAGUCUACAUACGAGCGAUUACGAUAUUGCAACACAGCACAGGUGAAGGACAGGGAUAUGUGGCAUUCAUAAACACAGGUAAGUUAUAAAAAGGUGAUGUCAUUAGCUGUGUUAUGAGUUUAUGUACGAGCGACUACGAUAUUGCAACACAGCACAGGUGAAGGACAGGCAUAUCUGGCAUUCAUAAACACAGGUAAGUUAUAAAAAGGAGAUGUCAUUAGCUGUGUUAUGAGUUUAUGUACGAGCGAUUACGAUAUUGCAACACAGCACAGGGGAAGAGAAGGUAUAUAUAUCUGGCAUUCAUAAACACAGGCAUGGGUAAAACGGCAUUCUCGUAAGCUGCAGAAACGUACCAAAAGUCAACUCGUAAUUGGACAGUCCGCUAAGUCGAGGGUAAACUGUACAACUCUUUAAGUGUUCGUCCGACAACACAGAAACACUAACGGAGGGUGGAGUGGCCCUAGGGAACCCCACAGUGCCUGGGGUGUGUGUGCCAGUCUGUGUGUGUGUGUGUGUGUGUGUGUGUGUGAGGUAUUCAAAUCUGCGCACAUACAUAUACAUACAAAUUGAAGCUUACUUAUAAAAGAAUGAACUCUUGUCGAAAUAAAAAUAAUAAUAAUAAUGAUAAUGAUGAUUGUGAUAGAUAUGAAGGUUCAGCAAUCUAUAAUUCGACAAUAGAAGAAGAAGGACACAUUAAGACUAGAGUGAGCACCGUACACACACACACACACACACACACACACACACACACUAGUUACUAUUAUGCCAUCACAAAUUAAUCAUAUAUUGCAAUUACUAUUAUUAUUAUUAUUAUUAUUAUUAUUAUUAUUAUUAUCAUCAUUGAACUUUCUUUCUCUACCUCAGUCUGCAUUACGUAGACACACACACAGACACACACACACACACACACACACACUGCUCUAGGCUAUGUGUAUCAAGUCUGUCUGUGUGUGUGUGUGUGUGUGUGUGUGUGUGUGUGUGUGUGUGUGUGUGUGUGUGUGUGUGUGUGUGUCCUCCUCCUCCUCUUCCUUUUCUUCUAACUAUCUCCAAUUUCUUUUAUUUUUAGACGGGAAACUACUUCUUUUUCUGCAUGUGUGUGUGUGUGUGUGUGUGUGUGUGUGUGUGUGUGUGUGUGUGUGUGUGUGUGAAUCGUUCUGCCCCACACCCCAGCACGUGAGGUCCAUCUCCUUAGCCAAGACUCAGACCUAAAAUAAAACAUAAACAUGAUCACUUAAAUGUUAUCACAAGAACAGAAUCAGCACAGCACCGCCCUCUGUUCCGGGACUUUGGUUGCUCUGGAAUGCACCACCACCAAGCUGCCCACUCAACCACUCAGCUAGCCACUUAAAAGCCAGUCAGCUAGUCAGUCAGCCAAUCAGUCACUUAGCUAGCCAGUCAGUAAGAUUAUAACCAUGCCAGCCAGCCAGUCAGUCACUCAACCAGUCAGCUAGCCACUCAAAAAACAGUCAGCUAGUCAGUCAGCCAAUCAGUCACUUAGCUAGCCAGUCAGUGAGGUUAUAACCAUGCCAGCCAGCCAGCCAGUCAGUCAAUCAACCAGUCAGUCAGUUAACCAGUCAACCAGUCAGCUAGCCACUUAAAAGCCAUCCAGCUAGUCAGUCAGCCAAUCAGUCACUUAGCAAGCCAGUCAGUAAGGUUAUAACCAUGCCAGCCAGUCAGUCAGUUAACCAGUCAACCAGUCAGCUAUCCACUCAAAAAACAGUCAGCUAGUCAGUCAGCAAGCCAUUCAGUAAGAUUAUAACCCUGCCAGCCAGUCAGUCAGUUAGAUAACCAGUCAGCCAGGCAGUCAACCAACACUCAGGCCUGUCCACCAAUGCACCAAAGAGCAAGGACUUGACCACAGCCACACACACGUUACCACCAAAGGACAUUCCAACACCGCCUACGCCAAUAAAUAAAGGGAACGGAAAUUAUCAAAGGCAACCGAGGGAUACAUAACCUCUAGACAGCCUGUUAUGUAAGUCCCUCCCUCCGUAAACGUGUUCAUUAUCGCGUUUUAGAAGGUCGUAAUAAAUAAGUUAGGAUGCAGUGUAUCUGGAAGCAAAGGAAUGGAAAUUAUCGAAGGCAACCGAGGGGACUGUAACCUCAAGACAGCCCGUUACGUAAGUCCCUCCCUGCGUAAACGUGUUCUAAUCACUGUUCUAAAAUGUCG